rnacentral:rRNA from 1 species
CCUACGGGAGGCAGCAGUGAGGAAUAUUGGUCAAUGGACGAGAGUCUGAACCAGCCAAGUAGCGUGAAGGAUGACUGCCCUAUGGGUUGUAAACUUCUUUUAUAUGGGAAUAAAAAGUUCCACGUGUGGGAUUUUGUAUGUCCCAUAUGAAUAAGGAUCGGCUAACUCCGUGCCAUCAGCCGCGGUAAUACGGCUGAUCCGAGCGUUAUCCGGAUUUAUUGGGGUUAAAGGGAGCGUAGGUGGAUGGUUAAGUCAGUUGUGAAAGUUUGAGGCUCAACCGUAAAAUUGCAGUUGAAACUGGCAGUCUUGAGUACAGUAGAGGUGGGCGGAAUUAGGGGUGUAGCGGUGAAAUGCUUAGAUAUCACGAAGAACUCCGAGUGCGAAGGCAGUUCACUGGACUGCAACUGCCACUGACAUUGAUGCUCGAAAGUGUGGGUAUCAAACAGGAUUAGAUACCCUAGUAGUC